AAAAAAAGAGAAAAACAAACAAACAAAAAAAGAGAGAAGACGAUAUAUAGCGAGCGAAAGCAGAGGUUUCACGCCACCGGAAAAACAGGCUAGGGUUCCCAAUUCGACCUCUCCGUUACUUUUUAGCUGCGAGCGAGCGAGCGAGAGAUGAAGAUUUAUCACAUCCCUUGCUUGGAGGACAACUAUGCCUACCUAAUCGUGGACGAGAGCACGAAGGAAGCGGCCGCCGUCGAUCCCGUGGAGCCCAAGAAGAUCAUCAAGUGCGCCAAGGAGAUCGGCGCCGAUCUCAAGCUCGUCCUCACCACUCAUCAUCACUGGGAUCAUUCCGGUGGAAAUGAGGAGAUUAAAAAGCUGGUGCCAGAGAUUAAGGUCUUUGGUGGGACAAUAGACAAUGUUAAAGGGUGCACAAAUAAGGUUGAGAAUGGGGACAAAUUUACUCUCGGGGCGGAUAUUAACAUACUGUCCCUCCACACGCCAUGCCACACUAAAGGACACAUAAGCUAUUAUGUGACCUGCAAAGAGGAGGAAGAUCCAGCUGUGUUUACUGGGGACACAUUGUUUAUUGCUGGCUGUGGAAGGUUUUUUGAAGGUACUGCAGAUCAGAUGUACCAAUCAUUAUGUGUAACAUUGGCUUCAUUACCAAAGCCAACUCGAGUUUACUGUGGCCAUGAGUACACAGUAAACAACUUGCGGUUUGCAUUAACAGUUGAGCCAGAGAAUGAGAAGAUAAAGCAAAAGCUCUCAUGGGCCCAGCAUCAGCGUCAGGCAAACCUACCAACCAUUCCUUCAACCAUUGGGGAAGAGCUUGAGACAAACCCCUUCAUGCGUGUCGAUGUAGCAGAGAUACAGAUGUGAUUUGGGAAUUGUAUGUAAAGAAGUUGGCCUAACUGUUGCUUCAGCCAUCUAAUAUCUUCGCUUCCAAGCCAACAAUCUUUGGAUUGACGUUGGCCUAUGAAUCACAUAGUAGAUACUGCAGAAUUCAGUGUUCCAACAAUAGUGACACCUGAUAUUGAAGGAGGCAUUUGAUGAAGUUGAACGGCAAAAGUUGGCUGUCAUUCUCCAGUUGAAGCCAUAAAAGAAAUAAGGAGGCUGAAAGAUAAUUGGAGAGGCUGAUGAAAAUUUGGGGCUCCUGAGCUUUUUAAUUUAGUGUUUACACUUUGGCUUGGGCAAAAACAACAUGUAUUCUAAAUGAGUGUUCGUAUGUCUUCAUGUGGCAACCAGACUUGAAAGGCUCAGGUUGAAGUUUGAAGGCUGUUGCCAUCCUAAAUGGUCAUGUGAUAACUACCUCGUGUUUUGAUGAUCUGUAGGGAUACGGGUUGCCAGCUUUCAGGGGAUAUAAUGUGUCCAAACCUUGCUUUUCUAUAAUAAUCAGUUUAUAUCGUUCAUAUAUUAUCACAAA